UUACAGGUUUCUUUAGAAACCAAAGAAGUUUAUAUUUUAUGUAAAAU
rfam:Merops nubicus contig61769, whole genome shotgun sequence.